UUUUAUUUAUAUAGCGCAUUAUACAAUACAGAUGGUUUCAAAGGAGCUUCACACACAUAAAAUAACUUGCAAAUGUCAACAAUUAUGAAAUGACUAAUGUAGAGCUGUUUUGCAGUUGAAAUUAAAGAAAAUAGGGUUAUUAUUCAGCUCAAUUCUGUUCAUCUUUUGCUUCUGAUAGUCAAUCAGUCAAGUCAAUAACAUUUCUGAAUGUUAAUUGUCAUUCCCCAACUGAGCAGCCAAAGGCACUUGAUCUCAAGCUACAAAUCAGACAAAACAUGUAGGCUACCCAUUUACAGUGAUCUUGCUGAAAAGAAGAAACCCAGUUUACUCUCUCACACCUGUAUCUUUGGCUUGAUUUCACUGUCCAGUAUUGGAACUUUGAAUUGUAAUAUUCUACUUCUGUCUUCUUAGGAUAAAUAAUAUAUACCAUCUCAACAAUGUCCUGAAAGUAUACCUUAACCAGAGUUUGUGUAUCACCAUGGUCCUCAAAGUAUGACUUGAUCAGAGUUUGUGUUUAAUGUCCCCAAAAGCGACAUAUAAAAUAAUGUCCCUAAAGUGAUGGUAAAAUGUCAGGUCUUUAAGGAAGGCUUUUAUUGAUCAAAUCAAGUGAUAUUUGUGAUGACAGCUUCUCCAGAAGUGCAGUCAUAUCUUUCUUUAGUCUCUAGACCCUUCAGAAAGGGGUGUCCCUAAAGGUAGGGUUUCCAGUCAUACGUCCUCACAUUGUGGUUAAGUAGGUAUGUGUGUGUGUGUGUGUGUGUGUGUGUGUCUUUGUGUCAGUUUGAAAUUGCUGCAAAUGUACUGUGCCCACAGCUCACUGGCUCUGCUUCGGUGACAUCACUGAAGGUGAGACUGCUUCCCCCCCCACUGUUACUGUAUCAACUGAGUGGAGGUGACAGUGAAAUCAAAGCUGUCCUUUGGGAUUUUUCAUCAAAGUUUCACAUCUGACCCGGACCCUCACUUACUUCGAGUCCUUUUGCAAUGGCUGAACAAGCUGAGAGGAGAAAAGCUGACCGGCGCUUCACUGCUUGGUUUGCCACAGACCGCAGGAGAACCUACCUGUCCACCUGGCGAGAAACAGCACGCCGGAACAAAUAGCCUCAGAGGUUCAAAAGACGGAGUCCAGCAAGCACUGGAUGUUUAGAGCUAGGACGUGGGACCACAGCCACAUUUGUGCCCUCCAUUUGUGCAGAACCUCGCAGGAGAACUUCUGAACCGUGGCUUCUUCGUGACAGACCUGCCCCUAGGAGCCCGGAGCCGGAGGUUUGGCGGAGGAGGCUGAUGACCCGUCCUGUCUUCAUGAAAAAUAAGUGUACUCUGACCGUGCAACACAUGUGCGAAACACAAAAAGCACCACGAGAGGAUCCACGCUACCUGAAAGAAGGCCGCCUUCUGAAUCCAACGAUACCAGUU